GCACUUUCCACACAUGAGGAGAAGAAGAGCUUCUGUUUAGAAGACACGUGCCCAGAGUCAGAGGCCCCUUGCCCACCAUGAAGGGAACCUGUGUUAUAGCAUGGCUGUUCUCAAGCCUGGGGCUGUGGAGACUCGCCCACCCAGAGGCCCAGGGUACGACUCAGUGCCAGAGAGCCGAGCAUCCAGUCAUCUCCUAUAAAGAAAUUGGCCCCUGGUUACGGGAGUUCAGAGCGAAGAAUGCUGUGGAUUUCUCGCAGUUAACAUUUGACCCAGGACAGAAAGAACUUGUUGUAGGAGCAAGAAACUACCUCUUCAGGUUACAGCUUGAGGAUCUGUCUCUUAUCCAGGUCUGAGGAAGACAAUUGGGCUGUGGAAUGGGAGUGUGAUGAAGCUACCAAAAAGGCCUGUUACAGCAAAGGCAAAUCAAAGGUAAGAAGAAUGCAAUUAUGAGCAGCCAUCACCCUGUUUUGAAGGACUCUACACUAUAUUAAGCAUGUUGAUAUGAAGAGUAUUCCUGAUUACGAUGCCAUGUAAAGUG
rnacentral:sRNA from 1 species